GACGAACGCUGGCGGCGUGCCUAAUACAUGCAAGUAGAACGCACAGUUUAUACCGUAGCUUGCUACACCAUAGACUGUGAGUUGCGAACGGGUGAGUAACGCGUAGGUAACCUGCCUGGUAGCGGGGGAUAACUAUUGGAAACGAUAGCUAAUACCGCAUAAUAUUAAUUAUUGCAUGAUAAUUAAUUGAAAGGUGCAAUUGCACCACUACCAGAUGGACCUGCGUUGUAUUAGCUAGUAGGUGAGGUAACGGCUCACCUAGGCGACGAUACAUAGCCGACCUGAAGGGGUGAACGGCCACACUGGGACUGAGACAAGGCCCAGACUUCUACGGGAGGGAGCAGGAGGGAAUCUUCGGCAAUGGACGAAAGUCUGACCGAGCAACGCCGCGGGAGGGAAGAAGGGUCUCGGAUCGGAAAGCUCUGUUGUAAGGGAAGAAAGGGUGUUAGAGUGGAAAGUUCACACUGUGACGGUAUCUGACCAGAAAGGGACGGCUAACUACGUG
rnacentral:rRNA from 1 species